rnacentral:rRNA from 1 species
UACAGAGGUCCCAAGCGUUGUUCGGAUUCAUUGGGCGUAAAGGGUGCGUAGGCGGCGCGGUAAGUCGGGUGUGAAAUCUCGGAGCUUAACUCCGAAACUGCAUUCGAUACUGCCGUGCUUGAGGACUGGAGAGGAGACUGGAAUUUACGGUGUAGCGGUGAAAUGCGUAGAUAUCGGAAGGAACACCGGUGGCGAAAGCGGCGUGCUGGGUCCCUUCUGACGCUGAGGCGCGAAAGCCAGGGGAGCGAACGGG